UAAGCGGAGGAAAAGAAACUAACAAGGAUUCCCCUAGUAACUGCGAGUGAAGCGGGAAAAGCUCAAAUUUAAAAUCUGGUGGUCUUUGGCCAUUCGAGUUGUAAUUUAGAGAAGCGUCUUCCGCGCUGGACCGUGCACAAGUCUCCUGGAAUGGAGCGUCAUAGAGGGUGAGAAUCCCGUCUUUGGCACGGACACACCAGGGCUUUUGUGAUGCGCUCUCGAAGAGUCGAGUUGUUUGGGAAUGCAGCUCAAAAUGGGUGGUGAACUCCAUCUAAAGCUAAAUAUUGGCGAGAGACCGAUAGCGAACAAGUACCGUGAGGGAAAGAUGAAAAGCACUUUGGAAAGAGAGUGAAACAGUACGUGAAAUUGUUGAAAGGGAAACGCUUGAAGUCAGUCACGUCGACCGAGACUCAGCCUUGCCUUGGCUUGGUGUACUUCUCGGCUGACGGGUCAGCAUCAAUUUUGCCCCUUGGAUAAUGGCGAGGGAAAUGUGACACCUUUACGGUGUGUUAUAGUCUCUCGUCGCAUGCAAGGGUUGGGAUUGAGGAACUCAGCACGCGCCUUUGGGUGUCGGGGCUUUGCCCACGAUACGUGCUUAGGAUGUUGGCAUAAUGGCUUUAAACGACC
rnacentral:rRNA from 1 species